rnacentral:lncRNA from 10 species
UCAUUCCAUACAAGAUAUUGGUAUAGGUCCUAUGUGGGUCCAGAUUUCUUCUCCUAAGCCUCUGAGCCAGAGGCAUUAGGGACUCAGUGUGUUCCGUGUAGAGGUGUAAAACGAUACCUAUAGCAUAGAUUAGGUAACACCUUAAGCAGGGCUGGGGCAGUCCCCAUAAUCAAACAUGUUAAUAGCUCUGCAGUGAAAUGUACAAAUGUUCACAUCAAGGGGAAUAAAUAAAACUAUAAAUAGCUUCCUGUCAGCUGAGGUCAGGUUUUGCCUCCAGAUGAAUUUACCACCAUCUUAACAAAAGGACUUCGGUUUUUCAGACUUUUUGUUAAUUGCAGAAUUCCAGUUAGGGGAUGGGGACCAGACGAGGAUCGGGGCUCUCAGGCGCGUUGGUUUGGCUGUCUCCCUGCAGGGUCUCCCCGGCAGCGGGGCUGGCUCUGUGGUAGAGCCACUUCCACAGUCACCCAGGGCCCCGUACAUGGCUGACUGUUCUGUCGUCACCAUCUUGAAAUUCUCAAUAAUUGUAAUUUUACCGCCCCGAAUUUUCCUUUUACACAGGGCCCGGCAAAUCGCGUAGCCAGUCCUGCCAGCAUCCAGAGCAAAGCCCAGCACAAGGACCAGGAGUGGGGGCGUUCCCGAGAAGCCAACAUGCAGGAGACAACAGCGACGGUGAUUUCCAAAGCUGAGGACAUGGAGCUGAGCCAACCAGGGGUCCAUUCCUCCCCUGAGAAAUAGACUCUCCCCUUCGCAAUCGGAGCCUGUGAUCCACGGAUCACAACGGGAGCAAUGUGUGAGGCAAGGGCAGCGACGUUGAGGGGCUUCUCAAAGCUGCAGGAAAAGUCCUCAAGAUUCUAGAAUGUUCGGCAUUGCAGAUGCUCCGGGAUGAGUCAAGAAUACUAAGAGGGAAGGAUGUCCCGAGCCCUGCUUUGGGAAAUGCAGAAUCAGAUGAGGCCUUCAGGCAGCUGGUACCCAUGGCUGUAGGUCGUGUCUCCGUUCUGCCCCAAAGGCAGGCUCAACCUCUCCGAGGGUUCUCAGAUGCUGUGGCCACCGGUGGCUGCAGGGCCUUCCUGCUAAGACCAUCCCAGGCGCCGG